GUGUGUUACAGGGAGAGGAGCAUAUCACUCCCUCUCCCCAGCGGCCGCAUACCCUACAGGGAUGCUGCACGGUCUGUCCAGAUCCCCAACCCACACUACAGGAGUGCCAGGAGGAGGAGGUAGGCGAUCCCUCUUCUCCACAACAGCUCCUUGGUUCAGGGCCUGAAUUCCUGCAGGCCUCCCCAGCAGAAGCGCUGGCACCAGGGCAGAGCGCAGUUGGCCUCUGGAGCUCCAUGCCUGGGAACACAAGGGAGAUCAGGGCGGCAGACGUGCCCUCUGCAGCCUGGGACAGACAGGACAAAGUUGGACACCUGAGAACUACAGGUGGAGUACUUGGUUGUGGGUGG